GCCGCGGUAAAACCAGCACCUCAAGUUGUCAGGAGGAUUAUUGGGCCUAAAGCAUCCGUAGCCGGCUCUGUUAGUUUUCGGUUAAAUCCAUAUGCUCAACAUAUGGGCUGUCGGAAAUACUGCAGAGCUAGGGAAUGGGAGAGGUAGACGGUACUCGGUAGGAAGGGGUAAAAUCCUUUGAUCUAUUGAUGACCACCUGUGGCGAAGGCGGUCUACCAGAACAUGUUCGACGGUGAGGGAUGAAAGCUGGGGGAGCAAACCGGAUUAGAUACCCGGGUAGUCCCAGCUGUAAACGAUGCAGACUAGAUGAUGCAUUAGCAUAUAGCUAGUGCAGUGUCUCAGGGAAGCCGUUAAGUCUGCCGCCUGGGAAGUACGUACGCAAGUAUGAAACUUAAAGGAAUUGGCGGGGGAGCACGGUCAUAGCUGGUUUCCGGA
rnacentral:rRNA from 1 species